rnacentral:rRNA from 1 species
UACGGAGGAUGCAAGCGUUAUCCGGAAUGAUUGGGCGUAAAGCGUCCGCAGGUGGCAAUGUAAGUCUGCUGUUAAAGAGUCUAGCUCAACUAGAUAAGAGCAGUGGAAACUACAUAGCUAGAGUACGUUCGGGGCAGAGGGAAUUCCUGGUGUAGCGGUGAAAUGCGUAGAGAUCGAGAGGAACACCUGCGGCGAAGGCGGGUAGCUGGGCCGACACUGACGCUGAGGCGCGAAAGCCAGGGGAGCGAACGGG